GAAUAUUGGACAAUGGGCGAAAGCCUGAUCCAGCAAUGCCGCGUGUGUGAAGAAGGCCCUCGGGUUGUAAAGCACUUUUAUCAGGAACGAAAUACCACGGGUUAAUAACCUAUGGGGCUGACGGUACCUAAGGAAUAAGCACCGGCUAACUUCGUGCCAGCAGCCGCGGUAAUACGAAGGGUGCAAGCGUUAAUCGGAAUUACUGGGCGUAAAGGGUGCGUAGGCGGUUGUUUAAGUCUGUCGUGAAAUCCCCGGGCUCAACCUGGGAAUGGCGAUGGAUACUGGGCAGCUAGAGUGUGUCAGAGGAUGGUGGAAUUCCCGGUGUAGCGGUGAAAUGCGUAGAGAUCGAGAGGAACAUCAGUGGCGAAGGCGGCCAUCUGGGACAACACUGACGCUGAAGCACGAAAGCGUGGGGAGCAAACAG
rnacentral:rRNA from 1 species